rnacentral:rRNA from 1 species
CCGGCACGGGUGAGUAACACGUAUCCAACCUGCCGUCUACUCUUGGCCAGCCUUCUGAAAGGAAGAUUAAUCCAGGAUGGGAUCAUGAGUUCACAUGUCCGCAUGAUUAAAGGUAUUUUCCGGUAGACGACGGGGAUGCGUUCCAUUAGAUAGUAGGCGGGGUAACGGCCCACCUAGUCAACGAUGGAUAGGGGUUCUGAGAGGAAGGUCCCCCACAUUGGAACUGAGACACGGUCCAA